rnacentral:lncRNA from 1 species
GCUGAACCUUGCCAAAUCAGGGUAAGACGGCCUUUCAACCUCCCUGCUUCUGUGUUGGUCAGUCAGAUACUCUAGGCCUUAGCCAAAGCUGGUCGCCCCUACGCUGCUGUGAGACUUCGGGUGACUGUCCAGGUAGCUGGCUGUUUCUGUCUUCACUGUACCUUUUGGAAGUUGCUCGCCGGCACUUCCUGCCUACCCUAGUAUUGCUAUCCUCCUUCUCGGGUCUUUGAUGAGGUUGAAGAUUAGACUGUCACAAUUAUUGUUCUCUCUUCCUAGAUAGAAAUAUUAGGUACAAGACUUAAAUUUUCCAGCUUAGGACAACUCUAUAUCAUCUCUGUUAGGCCUUUACCCUAGGACUGGAUAUGUAGUUCUUGCCAUUUGCUCUUGUUGCUUCACUGGCAAUAGGUCUUGAGUGUGUUUGCUCUUACUUUUCCCUCUCUUGGAGCACACUUGAUAUUUGCUAUCUUUGUAUAUAGUUUUGUAUCAAGUCUAAAUCUUUUUCUUUAGACUAAAAAGGGAAUUGUAGUGAGAAAUCCACCCCACCCGCACCUGUGGCACUGACCAUAUCCACCCAUUUGGGCAGACAUGACAGAGAGUGAUUUUAGGUCUGGGGUCGGGGCACAGGUAGCUCUCUCUCUCUCUCUCUUGCUUCCAGUCAAGUCGCAGAGAGCAGCCUGUGUGGAUCCUUGGAGCGGGAACGUGUGGUGGUCAUCUGUUUCCUGUUGAGUAAUUCAAGACAGAGGUUCAAGCCAUGAUGUCUUCGAUUAGCCAGACUUGGAAGCCAGAUGUCGUCAGGUUGAAGAAAAAUCAUUACCCAAAAUAUUCAGAGGAGAGAGCAAAAAUGAAGAGUAAAAGCAACCUCAGGGCUCUCCAAGCUCAGAGCCGUGGACACAGGGAAGUAAGAGAGCCUGGGAGCAGUGAACAGAGGCGGUGCCCCAGCUUUCAUCCACAACAUGGCAGCAGAAGUUUCUGCCUCCAGAUAAGCCUGGAGAGGUAAUCAUGGCAGUGCCCUGGUAAGGAUGAGGCUCAUGGUUCCAGCGGAAAAUUCUAGCAUACCUCAUCCAGC